CCUCUUGAUCAACAGAAGAAUCAGAUCUUCAAUCGAGCUAAUCACUGGAUUUUGAGGAAUUCGACUCGUUUGAAAGCCAAGAAAUUAUUAGUUCUCAAAAGACCCAAUUAGAACUUUAUUUGGAUGAACCAAGACUUGACCGUGGUGCUCAACUCGACAUUCUUUCAUUUUGGAAGACUAAUGAGCAUAGAUACCCCGAGCUCUCUCUAUUGGCAAGGGACAUAAUGGCGGUUCCUAUUUCUACGGUUGCUUCGGAGAGUACUUUCAGUGUAGGUGGGAGAAUCCUUAACCAAUACCGUAGCACUCUUAAGCCUAGCAAUGUGGAGGCUUUAGUUUGCACGCGUGAUUGGUUAUAUGGUAUCAAAGAUGACAUGCAACCGAAAUUAGAUGAGCUUUCCGAG